GACGAACCGUCCAAACGUUAUUCGGAAUUACUGGGCUUAAAGGGUGCGUAGGCGGCGCGGAAAGUUGGGUGUGAAAUCCCUCGGCUCAACCGAGGAACUGCGCCCAAAACUACCGUGCUCGAGGGAGAUAGAGGUGAGCGGAACUUAGGGUGGAGCGGUGAAAUGCGUUGAUAUCCUAAGGAACACCCGUGGCGAAAGCGGCUCACUGGGUCGCUUCUGACGCUGAGGCACGAAAGCUAGGGGAGCGAACGGG
rnacentral:rRNA from 1 species